CCCUUAGAUGUUCUGGGCCGCACGCGCGCCACACUGAUGCAUUCAACGAGCCUAUCCUUGACCGACAGGUCCGGGUAAUCUUUGAAUCUGCAUCGUGACGGGGAUAGAUUAUUGCAAUUAUUAAUCUUCAACGAGGAAUGCCUAGUAGGCGCAAGUCAUCAGCUUGCGUCGAUUACGUCCCUGCCCUUUGUACACACCGCCCGUCGCUCCUACCGAUUGGGUGUGCUGGUGAAAUGUUCGGAUCGGCCGUUUGUCGCGGUUUCCGCGUCAUGUGGCUGAGAAGUUCAUUAAACCCUCCCACCUAGAGGAAGGAGAAGUCGUAACA
rnacentral:rRNA from 1 species